rnacentral:rRNA from 1 species
UACAGAGGUGCUCAAGCGUUGUUUCGGAUUCAUUGGGCGUAAAGGGUGCGUAGGCGGCGUGGUAAGUCGGGUGUGAAAUCUCGGAGCUUAACUCCGAAACUGCAUUCGAUUACUGCCGUGCUUGAGGACUGGAGAGGAGACUGGAAUUUACGGUGUAGCGGUGAAAUGCGUAGAUAUCGUAAGGAAGACCAGUGGCGAAGGCGGGUCUCUGGGCCGAUACUGACGCUGGAGGAGCGAAAGCCGUGGGGAGCGAACAGG